GUCAAUAUAGCAAAUAUAUUUAGUGCGAAAGAUUUAAAAUCUUUAGGAAGAUGGGUAGUCUUGUUGACA
rnacentral:tRNA from 1 species